UGCAUUUGGGCCACCACCGACUUUUUGU
rnacentral:sRNA from 1 species